rnacentral:tRNA from 1 species
AAUCCGUCGACGUUAAAAGUCGUGAGGGUUCAAGUC